UACGUAGGGUGCGAGCGUUGUCCGGAAUUAUUGGGCGUAAAGGGCUCGUAGGCGGUUUGUCGCGUCGGGAGUGAAAACACUGGGCUUAACUCAGUGCUUGCUUCCGAUACGGGCAGACUAGAGGUAUGCAGGGGAGCGGGGAAUUCCUGGUGUAGCGGUGAAAUGCGCAGAUAUCAGGAGGAACACCAGUGGCGAAGGCGCCGCUCUGGGCCGUGACUGACGCUGAGGAGCGAAAGCGUGGGGAGCAAACAGG
rnacentral:rRNA from 1 species